GGCUUCGUGGUCGAGAGGUAAGCACAUUUGCCUCUCAUCUAGGAGUCCCUGGUUCGAUCCCCGGUCGAGAAGCUA